ensembl:lncRNA
CUACAGCCGGCUACAGGCAGGUUUCUCUGUGAUUACUCACGGACUUGUCUUCUGACCGAAGAAGAAGUCAGACAGACUUGGACGUCAGCAAAUUUCAUCACAAUGAAGGCGAUUUAAACUAAAAGAACCGCACGAGGCUUGAAAGAGAUAGAUGUGCAGGCAGACAGGAACGCCCAGCUGGAGUGUCAGGGUCCUAAAAAAGCCAAACUUGUCCUGUUAGAGUGGAAAAGACUUGAUCUACUGUCGGAUGGAUACGUCUUCUUCUACCGAGAUGGUCAUCUACAUAAAACCUUCCAGCAUCCGACUUUUAGAGAUCGAGUGGAACUGAGAGAUCCACAGAUGAAAAAUGGGAACAUGUCCAUCAUUUUGUACAACACCACAAUUAAAGACACUGGAACGUAUGAGUGCCGUAUCAUCGCACAAAACAUAAGAGACAGUAGCAGCCCUACCUUUGAGAUCAAGCAUGAAAUCAAGCUGACAGUUGUUCCUCCAGGUCACACACAAGAGGUCACAGCGCCUAGAGAUGAAGAAAAUGAGGAGAAUAAGGACGUGGGGAACGAGGAUGAAAGAGAUGGAGGAUUUAUUGGACUGGCAGGUGGUCUGUUAGCUUUGGUGGUGAUUGUUAUUGUCGUGUUCUCUUACAAUGUGUUUUCCUCUUCCUCCUGUUGUAAACACAAAAGUAGCGAAACAUAAUUGCUAGUAUAAUUACUGUCCUUAUUAAGGAAAUAUAUAUAUAUAUAUAUAUAUAUAUAUAUAUGGUGUUUCCUUAAUAGGGACAGAGACCAAGAGUAAUUCACACACACUGCAGUAUUUAAAAUCCACAAUGUAAACAUUCUUAUUUUUACUCUUACUAAAAUGGUGUGGAAAGAAAUUGUUUGCUUGUUGAUAAAGUCUGACCUAGUAAAAGGACAAGGUAAAUUAAUAACAUUUUCUGUGUUUGUUAUUCCGUUGAGCUCUCGUCUGUGAUAUUAAAGUAGUAACAUACUUUUUGCUUUGUAUUUUUUAAUAUUUGUUUCCACCAGCUGGCAGCAAAAAAUAAUGAAAGCUAAGCAAAAUAGUUGGAGAAGCACACAAAACACAGCACACGUG